rnacentral:piRNA from 1 species
UAAGUACAGUACUUUCUGAGUCCUGAGGUA